GAUGAAGAACGUAGCGAAAUGCGAUAAGUAAUGUGAAUUGCAGAAUUCAGUGAAUCAUCGAAUCUUUGAACACACAUUGCGCCCGCCAGUAUUCUGGCGGGCAUGCCUGUUCGAGCGUCAUUUCAACCAUCAAGCCCCAGGCUUGUGUUGGGGACCUGCGGCUGCCGCAGGCCCUGAAAACCAGUGGCGGGCUCGCUGUCACACCGGGCGUAGUAGAUUCUAUCUCGCUCAGGGCGUGCUGCGGGUUCCGGCCGUUAAAAAGCCUUUUUUACCCAAGGUUGACCUCGGAUCAGGUAGGAAGACCCGCUGAACUUAAGCAUAUCAAUAAGCGGAGGA
rnacentral:misc_RNA from 1 species